rnacentral:rRNA from 1 species
ACUCCUACGGGAGGCAGCAGUAGGGAAUCUUCGGCAAUGGACGGAAGUCUGACCGAGCAACGCCGCGUGAGUGAAGAAGGUUUUCGGAUCGUAAAGCUCUGUUGUAAGAGAAGAACGAAUGUGAGAGUGGAAAGUUCACACUGUGACGGUAUCUUCCCAGAAAGGGACGGCUAACUACGUGCCAGCAGCCGCGGUAAUAC